UACGUAGGGUGCAAGCGUUAUCCGGAAUUAUUGGGCGUAAAGAGCUCGUAGGCGGUUUGUCGCGUCUGCUGUGAAAACCCGAGGCUCAACCUCGGGCCUGCAGUGGGUACGGGCAGACUAGAGUGCGGUAGGGGAGAUUGGAAUUCCUGGUGUAGCGGUGAAAUGCGCAGAUAUCAGGAGGAACACCGGUGGCGAAGGCGGGUCUCUGGGCCGAUACUGACGCUGAGGAGCGAAAGCGUGGGUAGCAAACAGG
rnacentral:rRNA from 1 species